UACGUAGGGUGCAAGCGUUUGUCCGGAAUUAUUGGGCGUAAAGAGCUCGUAGGCGGUCUGUCGCGUCGGCUGUGAAAACCCGGGGCUCAACCCCGGGCCUGCAGUCGAUACGGGCAGACUAGAGUGCGGUAGGGGAGACUGGAAUUCCUGGUGUAGCGGUGAAAUGCGCAGAUAUCAGGAGGAACACCGGUGGCGAAGGCGGGUCACUGGUCCGAUACUGACGCUGAGGCACGAAAGCGUGGGGAUCAAACAGG
rnacentral:rRNA from 1 species